rnacentral:rRNA from 1 species
CCUANGGGGGGCAGCAGUGGGGAAUUUUGGACAAUGGGGGCAACCCUGAUCCAGCCAUGCCGCGUGAGUGAAGAAGGCCUUCGGGUUGUAAAGCUCUUUCGGCGGGGACAAAACGGCCAACGCGAAUAACGUUGGUUAAUGAUGGUACCCGAAGAAGAAGCACCGGCUAACUACGUGCCAGCAGCCGCGGUAAUACGUAGGGUGCGAGCGUUAAUCGGAAUUACUGGGCGUAAAGCGUGCGCAGGUGGUUUCGUAAGUCAGAUGUGAAAGCCCCGGGCUCAACCUGGGAAUGGCAUUUGAGACUGCGAAGCUAGAGUACGGCAGAGGGAGGUGGAAUUCCACGUGUAGCAGUGAAAUGCGUAGAUAUGUGGAGGAACAUCGAUGGCGAAGGCAGCCUCCUGGGCCAGUACUGACGCUCAUGCACGAAAGCGUGGGGAGCAAACAGGAUUAGAUACCCCGNUANUC